rnacentral:rRNA from 1 species
AACGAACGCUGGCGGCAUGCCUAACACAUGCAAGUCGAACGAGACCGUCUGGUAUAGGUGCGCACGGGUGCGUAACGCGUGGGAACCUUCCCUUAGGUGCGGACUAACUCCCCGCGGGGGGUGCUAAUACCGGAUAAUUUCUUCUGCCCAAUGAUUUAUCUCCUUGGGAUGGGCCCGCGUUAGAUUAGCUAUUUCGUAGGUUAAAGGCCAACCAAGGCGACGUUCCAUAGCUGGUGUGAGAGGAUGACCAGCCACACUGGGACUGAGACACGGCCCAGACGCCUACGGGAGGCAGAAGUGGGGAAUAUUGGACGAUGGGCGAAAGACUGAUCCAGCCAGGCCGCGUGAGUGAUGAAGGCCUUAGGGUUGUAAAGCUCUUUUAACCGCGAUGAUAAUGACAGUACCGGGAGAAUAAGCUCCGGCUAACUCCGUG